GGUUAAGCGACUAAGCGUACACGGUGGAUGCCCUGGCAGUCAGAGGCGAUGAAGGACGUGCUAAUCUGCGAUAAGCGUCGGUAAGGUGAUAUGAACCGUUAUAACCGGCGAUUUCCGAAUGGGGAAACCCAGUGUGAUUCGUCACACUAUCAUUAACUGAAUCCAUAGGUUAAUGAGGCGAACCGGGGGAACUGAAACAUCUAAGUACCCCGAGGAAAAGAAAUCAACCGAGAUUCCCCCAGUAGCGGCGAGCGAACGGGGAGGAGCCCAGAGC
rnacentral:rRNA from 1 species